AUGAGACCGUGUCGCUGGACUCCAGAAGGCUCGAGGAUCCUGACACUGGGCAGCCUGAUAAGCAGCCUGGUAACAUAAUAUCUCUACACAACGCAUCUUAAGAGACAGAUCGAGCUGUCAGAAGUCAAGAUUGAUGUGAACAAAAGAAAGCUGCAGGACAUGGACCUUGAGAUGCAAAUUAAACGCAAGACACUGAGGA